rnacentral:lncRNA from 1 species
AAUAACUGCGGGGAGAAGAUGGCAUAGACGCCCGGCGCUGGUCAAGUUUUGCACGUUGAUAUAUUUCAACGUUACAGAUUUUUGCUUAAGACAGCCUAUGUGUUGUUUGCUUUAUUCUUUCGCAAAGAUGUCAACAAAAGACGAAUCUGCCCAAAACACUGAAGUGGAAAACAAAAACCCUGAUGAACUUUAUGUGGUCAUUGAAUACUGUGAUGCCUGAGGUGGAUGGAAAGAGAUGAAUACUCUCCGUAAAGACAUCCAGAAGGAGUUUCCGGAAGCUAAAGUUGUAGACAUUGUUAGCAAGACUUUUGGUGCCUUUGAAGUUUCUGUCAAUGGUCAGUUUAUUCACUCUCGAAUUGAGUCUGGUUGUAAUCCUAUCCAUGAACAGAUUCUAUAUAUAUUGCGUGAUGCCAAGGCAGGUAAACCAAUCCCUACCAUUUCAAAAAAGGAAUAGGUUUGCUGAACUCUAUAACGCUAAUAUAUCUACAAGAAACUGCUGCAGUUAUGUUACACCUUAAACUCUCGGCAAUUUCAUUUGCUGCUUCCUUUAUGAUUUAAUCCAUAUUAGAGCCCUUGACUAUCAUACUUGUUUUGUGUAUCUUCAUGACACAGACAUAUAGCUAUGAUACAGACUGGCUUACAUCCCAGUAUCAUGCUACCUGUCUUGUUAUAAUGAAGAUAUUUAUCCAGUACGUGUUGCUACCCUUACAUGUUAUCCCACUCAAUAUGUGUCCAGUCAACAACAACAACAACAACACACUU